AAAAAAGUGGAGUCUAUCCCUUGGGUGCUCUGCGCCGCACGGGGCGAGAAGCUGAAACCUAUGGCGACGACGGAGGUGGAGGCGGAGGCGGUAGCGAUGGAUUCGAGUUCCUAUCUGACAGGUUUUUCAACUGGAGCUCAAGGUUUUCUCUUCUACAAUAUUCAUUUGUGGGCAAUUGGUUCUUGGAUGAUUAAGCUAAGAUAAGCUGAGGAUCAAAGUAGAGAUUAGUGCCGCCAUGCGGUGCUUCCCAUUUGAGCAGUUGAGGGUGUGUAGAAAUGCUUCAUGACUUGCAUUCCAGCCGAUGAAGUUGCUAUGUCUGUAUAUUCGUAUUAGGGCAUCCAUAGUGUGUUGCUGCCAAAUUUGCCCAUUAAAAGGAAUUUGGCAUUGCCGUAAAAAUUUGGCAUCGUGUGGUUCCCAAUUUCAGCAUAGUGGGUCCCACCAUCAAAUAGAAUGGGAUAAAUACAACGUCCAUGAUUCCCAAUUUCAGUUGAGGCCACGUUUUGUUCUGCUAGAUAUCAUUGUAUUUUAAUAUUUUUGCAAUUAUUGGCUCUUUUCCCAGUUUUUGUUUGGUCUAUAUGGACCAUGGAUAAUCAGUUUGGAUGCUUAUACGCCAAGCUAAAUUAUGUAUAUGUCUUGCUUGUAAUUCUUAUCAUCAUAGAAGAAAACAGCACAA